CUGUUUCCUCCAGAUGAAGUAUUGUGGAAGAAAUUGCUGCAAAGGUCCACCUGACGAAAAAGUGAUGGCUUGGAUAUAAAUCCCAAGUGAAUAUUGGACAGAUGCCUGGGACACAACACAGAAUCUCAAUUGAAUCGCAUGACCUAUUGCCAAGAUAAAGAGCGAGUGAGAGAGAUGCGGAGGAGGAUGAGCAGGCUGGGAGAUGGAUGGUGUGCACUGAAGAGCACUCACAUGACUGAUGAAUGGGAAGGCUAUAUUGGUUAAAAUGGCCUUUGUGACACAGCCAGAGCCAAAGACAAGUGCGACAUCGUCCAUCACUGAAGAACAGCAAAAGAGGAUCUGUUUUGUGUGUAAACCAAACAUUAUAAACAUAUGUAGGAUAAUCAUUAAAAUGAUAUACAUUAAUUGAAUAAUGCAGAUAUUUCUGUACAUCAAUGAAUUUUGGUGUAAUGCCCAGUAUAUAUCCUUAGCAUUCAGGAUGGAACUAUCUUUACUGGGCGUUAUGACACAGGGUACAAGCACCACCACAACAACAAACAAACAGACAAUAAUGUUAGCUUCCUUUCCUCUCUAGUGUUGAGAUUCCUGCAUAAGUCACAUUGUGUGGCUGGCUAACAGCCAUAGAAGAGAUAAGACGAUGUGCCAUCAGCAGAGAUAAGCAUCUUAUCAGCCUGUCUGCCCGUCCACACCCACAUCCAGAGGAGACCUGUUGUAUUACAGGGCUGUUAGACAUGCCCUGACACCUGCAGAUAAAGAAUCGGUCAGUCUCUGCCUUCUUAAAGGAAAAAAAUACAUUCUGACACUCUUUCAAUUAAAGCAGCUAUCAUUUCUCCCGAGCAGGAAGCGAGGCAUGGGGCUGAAAGUUUAUGCAGGGCCAUUUGUUG